ACAUGCAGUCGAGCGGACAGAAGGGAGCUUGCUCCCGGAUGUUAGCGGCGGACGGGUGAGUAACACGUGGGUAACCUGCCUGUAAGACUGGGAUAACUCCGGGAAACCGGAGCUAAUACCGGAUAGUUCCUUGAACCGCAUGGUUCAAGGAUGAAAGACGGUUUCGGCUGUCACUUACAGAUGGACCCGCGGCGCAUUAGCUAGUUGGUGGGGUAAUGGCUCACCAAGGCGACGAUGCGUAGCCGACCUGAGAGGGUGAUCGGCCACACUGGGACUGAGACACGGCCCAGACUCCUACGGGAGGCAGCAGUAGGGAAUCUUCCGCAAUGGACGAAAGUCUGACGGAGCAACGCCGCGUGAGUGAUGAAGGUUUUCGGAUCGUAAAGCUCUGUUGUUAGGGAAGAACAAGUGCGAGAGUAACUGCUCGCACCUUGACGGUACCUAACCAGAAAGCCACGGCUAACUACGUGCCAGCAGCCGCGGUAAUACGUAGGUGGCAAGCGUUGUCCGGAAUUAUUGGGCGUAAAGGGCUCGCAGGCGGUUUCUUAAGUCUGAUGUGAAAGCCCCCGGCUCAACCGGGGAGGGUCAUUGGAAACUGGGAAACUUGAGUGCAGAAGAGGAGAGUGGAAUUCCACGUGUAGCGGUGAAAUGCGUAGAGAUGUGGAGGAACACCAGUGGCGAAGGCGACUCUCUGGUCUGUAACUGACGCUGAGGAGCGAAAGCGUGGGGAGCGAACAGGAUUAGAUACCCUGAUAGUCCACGCCGUAAACGAUGAGUGCUAAGUGUUAGGGGGUUUCCGCCCCUUAGUGCUGCAGCUAACGCAUUAAGCACUCCGCCUGGGAGUACGGUCGCAAGACUGAAACUCAAAGGAAAUUGACGGGGGCCCGCACAAGCGGUGAGCAUGUGGUUUAAUUCGAAGCAACGCGAAGAACCUUACCAGGUCUUGACAUCCUCUGACAACCCUAAGAAGAUAGGCUUUCCCUUCGGGUACAGAGUGACAGGUGGUGCAUGAUGUCGUCAGCUCGUUCGUGAGAAUGUGGUAAGUCCCGCAACGAGCGCAAUCUUUGAUCUUAGUGCCCAGCAUUCAGUGGCAC
rnacentral:rRNA from 1 species